rnacentral:rRNA from 1 species
GACACGCUGGCGGCGUGCCUAACACAUGCAAGUCGAGCGGAGUCGAUCGACGGAAGCCUUCGGGCGGAAGAUGGUUGACUUAGCGGCGGAUGGGUGAGUAACGCGUGGGCAACCUGCCUCGAAGACCGGGAUAACAGCCCGAAAGGGCUGCUAAUACCGGAUGUGGUCAAAGAUCCGCAUGGAUUUUUGAUUAAAGGGGAAACCCGUUUUCGAGAUGGGCCCGCGUCCUAUCAGCUAGUUGGUGAGGUAAAAGCUCACCAAGGCGACGACGGGUAGCCGGCCUGAGAGGGUGACCGGCCACACUGGAACUGAGACACGGUCCAGACUCCUACGGGGGGCAGCAGUGGGGAAUCUUCCACAAUGGGCGAAAGCCUGAUGGAGCGACGCCGCGUGAGCGAAGAAGGCCUUCGGGUUGUAAAGCUCUGUCUAGAGGGACGAAGGAAGUGACGGUACCUCCGGAGGAAGCCACGGCUAACUACGUG